GUGUUGACUUCGGCAGCACAUAUAUUAAAACUGGAAUGAUACAGAGAUUAGCAUGGCCCCUGCUAAAGGAGGACACAUAAAUUUGUGAAGCGUUCCAUAUAAAA
rnacentral:snRNA from 1 species